GAAGGAGAGAGGGAAAGAGGGAAAGAGACAGAGAGAAGGAGAUCGGGAGUGAGUGGAGGGUGGUAAACUGAAUCUCGCUAGACGCCGCGGGACUAAAUCAGUUUGCAGGCUCCUUUCUUUCAAGUCCUUCUUUUCGUUCUGGGUGUGCAUGUCGCUGCUAAACUGCAACUCAAAUAUUGUCGACCGCCUCGUUUGAUCUUUCCUCUCACCAAUCCGCUGAAUGUUGCCUUGGCAGUGUCAACGUGCUGAACCCACGCCCAUUAUUCCCUUCGCCGUAAAGUUCUCUGCCAACACGCGUGGCGAUAAUCAUCUAUUGGAUGGUAAAGCAGGAACUGUGAAACCCAAACAAGUAUAUAAUUGGCCAUUUGGUUUGUCAUUCCGUUGGGAUCAUUGUCUCUGGCUUUCAGCUUUUCCGUAUUUGAAAUAUUAAUCGUGACGACCGCAGACAGAUAAGCAUUUGCAUCUGCGUCCCUUCCGAGCGUUGCUAAACUUGCUGUUAUAAGACGUCCUCACCGAGAGCCACAUACGUAACCAUCGAGGAAUCCGAGUCGACAUAUAAGACGCUAAGAUUUAUGGUUGUGCAUUAUGCUCUUUUGGGGAGAAAAAAAAAAACGCUGCCAGCUUCGUUUUGACACUUAUGAAGCUGACCUUAACGUUUAUGUUCAGCCACGGAUGCUGGCUGAGCGUCAUAAAGUCAUGAUGUCGGGGGCCCCAAUGUUCCUUUGACGCCAGAACCAAAGCGACCGAGACUGUUCACUUGUUACUCAUUUUCCGACGAAUCGGCGUUUGGGAAAGCGCUCGGAAGGCUAGAGUUUGAAUUUAUCCUCACCCGACUGUAGCGCAUAGUUUGAUGAACCGAGGUUGAAUUCGACCUCAAGCAGUCUAGUGACACACACAACGACAAGAGAUGCAAACAAAAAAAUGCCUUUACAAGAACUCCAAAUCCAGUUGAAUACCGCCCGACGAUCUAAUACAAAAAAUUUUCAGUUCCUGCGAUUCCUUGUUCGUCCGCGUCCUUGACAGAGAGCAUGUUUUCGCCAAAUGUCCAUCACCUACAGUAUAGUUUCCACUCCUUACUUUUGAGUCAACGCUCGAUGAUUGUGUUGAACGCAUAUCCAUCACGUCACGCUACGAUUCUAAAUACUUUUAUCCUGUUAGCCGUCAACAUUUUUGCACAACAAUAGUUGUUGGUCAGCGCGCCGGAAACGCUAAUAACGAUGCGUUUGGACUUCUUAUGCAGUUUGUCCUGAUCAGAUAACCCAGCACAUUAAAAUGCCUGAAAUUUUAUGGCUACAUACGUAAAUAGAGGUAGAAUGCAAGUGCCACGAUCUUAGUGUUUGCGCUCUAUGGUCAAUAAUAUCGUUUGACGUGUUUACCAAUAACAAGCGGGAUUUCAGCGAAACAGUAUUGGUGGGAUAAUUAUACCAGGUUAUACAGUGGGACUGAAUUUUGAGUGAAUUAACGCAAAAAAAAAAAUUAAUAUUUAUUAUCCUUACAGAG